GUGCCCCUGUUUUCCACGUUAAAUUAUUUUUUUCACAAAUCCAUCGGGAACAGUGUAUUUUUCUUGGAAAGUAUACCUAGUAUAUUGCUCAAUAACCUCCUAUAUCUAUCCCAUUCAAAUCGGUACAGAUUAGCCCGGACACACAGACAAGCAGACAGACGAAAAUUAUAACUUUGAUUGUGUAUAGUUAGAUAAGUACCUUAAUGUGUCAAAACAUAACUAUUAAAUCAAUGUUUGUGUGUGUAAAUUAAUCUAUAUUUUAUGAACGCAAUUAAGCUGUACAUAUAUAAAGACCUGUGUUUAACAAAAUGCAACCAAAAUUUUUAUUAAAAACAUACUACACAAUACAAAGCUACGAUAAAGAUGAGGAAAGUUCUACUCUUCGUGCUGGUUCUGGUGGCGAUAUCCCUGUGCAUGGCUGGAUAUGCGCAACCAUAUCGUCACGCAUAUGAUGAACAGGAAGAUGUCGAGUUUCUCUCGUGGCCGAAGGUACAGAAACGCGCUGUAGACUUCAACCCGCCCCCUUUCAACGAUGAUAGUUAUUGAUAAUAUUAUUACUAUGCCUGCAAUAGUCAGACCGACCUCUUUUUAUGAGCGCUGAGAGUUUGUCAGUCUACGCUCAUAUCAUAGGUAAGUACGGAAGACUGUGGUGGCUUUGGAAGGUAUCGGAUAUCUACUCAUAGGGUCUAGAUCCACAACCUUCCAAUUAUAAAAUGUAUUUUUUUUUAUAUAUAUAUUUUCUUCGUUAUAAUAUGAGAAAUCGUGUCCAAUAGCCAUGUCCAGUCGCCAGUCAUUUAGCUUCGCGGCAAUUCUACAAAAAAUAAUUUUAAAGAUCUGUGUCUGGUGACUAGUGGCGUGCACAACGCUUUCGACUAUACGUAAAAUUUGUAAAAGAAUGGAAAAUCCAAAAAAAAAAAAGAUAAGCAGUGCAUUUUUGCAUCUGUGAAGCGCACGCCACGGCUGGUAGUUGACAUGAUUCUUUAUGAUAUCUCGAAGAAAAUAUCGAAAAGUAACCUACGUUUUGCACAUAUACGUAGUUGAAGAUCUGGACCCUUGAACAUGAUACCUUCGAAAGCUACCCCAAUACUAACUCUUUAGUGGUCUGCGGUACUUACCUAUGGCAAUAAGCAGUAGUUUAUGCUGUCAAACUACCACCUUCGUAAAAUGAAGUAUGUCCGGCUAUCGCAGGCACGCCUAAUAUAUCAAGUCAAGAACUACAUCACCUCGAUCUGCAGUAUCUAUUCAAUAUUAUGUCUGAUUCUUAUGUUAUUAUAUUUCAAGAUAAUAAAGAAUAUAAAAAUAAUAA